UACGUAGGUGGCAAGCGUUGUCCGGAUUUAUUGGGCUUAAAGGGUGCGUAGGCGGCCCUGUAAGUCAGUGGUGAAAUACUCCAGCUUAACUGGAGGGGUGCCAUUGAUACUGCAGGGCUUGAGUGGCGUCGAAGUAGGCGGAAUUGACGGUGUAGCGGUGAAAUGCGUAGAUAUCGUCAAGAACACCGAUAGUGAAGACAGCUUACUACACAUCGAUUGACGCUGAGGCACGAAAGCGUGGGGAGCAAACAGG
rnacentral:rRNA from 1 species